rnacentral:rRNA from 1 species
UACGUAGGGAGCUAGCGUUGUUCGGAAUUACUGGGCGUAAAGCGCACGUAGGCGGCGAUUCAAGUCAGAGGUGAAAGCCCGGGGCUCAACCCCGGAACUGCCUUUGAAACUAGAUCGCUAGAAUUCUGGAGAGGCGAGUGGAAUUCCGAGUGUAGAGGUGAAAUUCGUAGAUAUUCGGAAGAACACCAGUGGCGAAGGCGGCUCGCUGGACAGACAUUGACGCUGAGGUGCGAAAGCGUGGGGAGCAAACAGG